rnacentral:lncRNA from 1 species
CAUCACGCAUGCGCGAUAGUUCGUGAGCAGACGAACCACUGAAAGAGACUUGCGCAGUCUAGUUGCAUCCAGCCAAAUACUAGUAGAACCCGAAACAUUGUUUUGACAAGUUCUGUCAUGUUGGGUUUGCAGGUUUUCACAAAAGACCAAGGUGUUGCAGCUUUUAUUCCGUGUUUUUCUUGCUAUCAACAGUACAGGCUGACCAACGACAGUUUUAGCUACAAAUAUUUGACGCCUCGUCUUGCAACUAGCUGUUGAUAUUCUAGGUUUUUUAAAUUUAAAAUUGGAAUCAACUGUCUGAGAUGUCGUUACCCCUGGCAGACGGGAGGCGCUAACGUCUGCUAACGUCAAAAUUGUCUAUUUCCCCCCGUCAGCUAAGGAGUACAAAGUACCUAUAUUAUAGUCUUUCUUUUCCUCUUAGUGUCACCUUAGUUAGACUUGUAGUUACUUGUCUCAUCAUUCUGGAUUUACGCAACGACGACAUUUGGUGUUGCACGUUUCUUCGCUGUUUUAUUGUCCUUUGUAUAGAGCGUAAGUUCUUCUAAUAGACCAACAUAUCUGCGAGCAAGGAUCUGCUUAGGGACAGUGAGACAUCAGCGAAUACAACAACGGAACCAUAUCCAAAUUGUAGCACAAAACUUGUACAGCUGUGAUACCUCCCAAACACCUAUGCAGUUUGGAAUGCUUGUCAGGUGAAUGCAGAUUAAUGUAAAAGAUGUCAAAUGUUAGACAUGUGGAAAAGGCCUGAUAGGAUGUGUGGGCGCCUUUGGUAACAUAGAUUGGAACUUAUGAUUUUUCAUGUUGGCUACACCAAGGCAGUAAUAACUGUGCUGCAAACAAUCUGCAAAACAUGCUUGUCUGUCCAUCUCAGUGAUGAGAUGGCAAAUUUGUUGAGUAAAUCUGACUAAGGAAGAAAAUCUGAGAAGUGUUCCUAAAAGUAACUUGUCCCAGUGUGAUUUUCAUAGCAAUCCAUCAUUUGUUCCAAAGAUUUUUUUAUGAAGCUACAACAUAGAAGGUCUUGACCCAGUAAGCAUCAUACAGGGAGCUCCUAUGUAUGAAAGGAACUUUCUUCAGUAUUGAUACUGGGAUAAAUGACUUUGUUCUCAUCAACUUUCAGUUUAAAGAAACCAUUAACUCCUCAAAGACCACAAGUACACCUGUUACCACCACCCGGUUCCAAAUCGAUGAUUGCUUGGAUUCUAGAAAAAAACAAUGCUCGGUAAAGUAAAUUUUACAGUUGCCAACCACAAUAGUUCCGCACUGUAAUAAAAUCUCGGUCAGUGACUCGGUGUCGCCAACGUGAUACAAAGUUAUUCAACUCUUUACAUCAAACCUGUUGAGAAGGAUGCCCCAGGCUGGACACUAUUACUCCAAUUGAAAAUGAAUGGACACAGAAUAAAAAUGGAAUGUGAUGCCUAGGUAGCAUAAUGAGGUCAGAAGAUUGCCCAACAUCUAUGGAAAAAUGACUUGAUUGAUGAACCAGCUAUAUUUAGCAGGUUGGCUUUAUUGGAGAACUGUUAAACAUUUGAUAUUCAUAAUGUUCGCAAGGCUUUUAAGAAAAUAGUUUUCAUUGCACUGGCGACAAUUCGGAAUGGCGAGGUGCGAAUGAAUCGGAUUAAAAGUCAGCGUGGAAAUGCAAUAGUUCCGCAGCUGGCAAGAAAUGAGAGGACGAUUGGUGAUGAGACAAUUUAUUCUAAUCGCUGUAACUCAUGGACACGUCGACAUUCGUGGUAAUCAAACUUAGAACGUCUGCAAUGCGAAAUUUUUCACCAAUAUAAAGGAAAGCUGCAAACAUAUUUUCAGCAUUUUUAAUAAAAAAAUAAGCGCGUUCAUUCCCUUCAACCAAUUGUCAACGCGAGGCCCCGUAGGAACCUUCCAUACGUCACUUUUAUUGUAGCUGACAGUGACUGUAAUUAUGGCUUACUUAGCCCAUGCUUAUCCAGAGCUGCCUUGUUGAUCCCCGCCCUAAAAACUAUCAUCUUCAAAAGCUUCCAGGUUUGUUGUGGUCGUAGAACAGCAGACGACGAAGUUCAAAGCGGCAUUGUACCAUCGGGCAGAAUCCAAACGGUUGAUGCAUUGAAAAUGUCGGAGCUCUGUUGAUGAAUUUUCACCAGCACUCUUCCACAAGACGCGCGCGAAGCAAACGAUAGCAAAGGAGAUAGGGACUUGAAUUGGUUGUUUACCACCCGUGGCUUUCCCGCAUCCCAGGAUUAGUCUUGUACACCUUUUGCACUUGUACAGAGCGUUCGGGAACGAAAUUAGUUGUGGAUGGGUUUGCUGUUGACAAGCAAGGGAAGGAUUUUUACUACCAAACUAGAUAGGAAUGAAAUUUGUUGUGGCUGGUUUGUUUGUUGACAAGCAAGGGAAGGAUUUUUUUACCAAAGUAGACAGGAUAUUUAUUCUUAAUCCCACAAUGUCUUGACUACAAAUCAUGCUGAAUUAGAAUAGUAUGUUGAUCGAGGCUGGGUGCCAAAGCAAUGGAUGAUAAUUGUAAGCGCGAUUGGAAAUAUCCAUGAUUUAUUAACGUUCUCUCAUGUUACGGUAUUUUAUUAAAGACAAAUUGAAGUGUA